rnacentral:rRNA from 1 species
UGGCGAACGGGUGAGUAAUACUUGAGUAACCUGCCCUCUUCUUUGGGAUAAGCCUUGGAAACGGGGUCUAAUACCGAAUAUUCUGCUUCUGUCGCAUGGCGGGGGUUGGAAAGGGUUUCUGGUGGGGGAUGGGCUCACGGCCUAUCAGCUUGUUGGUGGGGUGAUGGCCUACCAAGGCUUCGACGGGUAGCCGGCCUGAGAGGGUGACCGGCCACAUUGGGACUGAGAUACGGCCCAGACUCCUACGGGAGGCAGCAGUGGGGAAUAUUGCACAAUGGACGAAAGUCUGAUGCACCGACGCCGCGUGAGGGAUGAAGGCUUUCGGGUUGUAAACCUCUUUCAUCAAGGAAGAAGCGAGAGUGACGGUACUUGCA